rnacentral:lncRNA from 13 species
CAUAUCAUGAGACCUACUCCUAUCGGCAACAUGUAUUAAAACACAAUGAAAACAAUACAUUUCUGGACGUGUGGUCCUCGGCCUCCCAAUGGGGCUGGGGCCAGGGCUAAAGCAGGGGCCAAGAUAGUGGAUGGAGAACACACGGACCCCCUGAGGACUUAUGUGCCAUCGCUGCCCUCCUGUUACCGCUGCUGGAGGCUCCCGGAUGGAUAACGCCAACCACUCCGCUUUCUCCCUCCCUCUGUCCCUAUCUCUCUGUUUCUCUCUCUCUUUCUUUCAUCAUCCUGGAAUUAAAGUGUGACUAUGUUAAUAACCUGUCAGGUCAGUUAAAAAAGAUUGCUACUGGUGACACUGAAACCCAGUACUACCUGUGUCAGAAUAUUUGAGAUAUAUAUGGUUAAAUUCAAAAAGAUUUGUAAUAUUGAUUUUUCGCGUGACUUAAAAAUGUCCUUUGGAGUGGAACUUGAGGCAGAAGAUUUUUCUGACUCUGGGCACAUCAUAGACUCUUCUCAGCGUUCCAUCAUAUCAGAUUCUGAUAUUUUAGACAGACGCAAACGUAGGAAUAGCUUAGAUAUUCCACCAGAUUUUGUAACAUGCACACUGGAAAAUAUUCAGUAUGUAUACUUUGAAGUUUUAUGUUUUAUAUAUAUCUAUUAAAGCCUUCAUGACGCCAUCAUAAUGCCUUCAUAAUGUCCUACACUACAUACAUAGAAGCUUCACAUAUCAUUUGUAAGCAAAUGUCAUGCUGGAAAAAGGAGGUGUGCAGAUGCGGAAGCAGAGAUGUGCCGACAGAAGCGAACUUUCGAUGCAUAAUUCUGUUUAAACGAACCUAACGGACGGCGCAGAAGCUGCAAAAUUAGGCUUUAGAGAGGUGGAAGGUUGCUGAUUCAAUCCACGGACAGGGUAUAAAAACAGAACUGUGGGAACUGUUGGUCUAUGAUUCCAGGUACUCCCUCCUGCCGUUGUGCCCUUGAGCAUGGGACUUAAACCCCAAAACUGCUCUCCAUCCAGGGGUGCUGCUCUGUAGCUUAUCAACUUAGCUUAUCAAUGAUUUGUGCAGCGCCUAUGAAAUGUGAUGAAGCAGAUAAUGAGGCUAAACUACUAACAAUAUUCAGUUAAGUAAUGUACAUUUAGAAGGUUAUAAUAGGGUCAUACUCACAUUGCUCCUAUAACUAUAUUUAGCAUUUCAUUAUCUUAUAUUCUGGCUUAGCUUUUUAAUGCAAUAAAAACUGUGACAAACUAUUCAGUGAUGCUUUAUUUGUCCUAAUGCAAUCCUCAUUUUAAACUAUGUAUUUCAACUAUGGUCAAAUUGUUCCCUCUUACCAAGUCAGAGCUUUGGAACAAAAUGUCUUGCAUCAUCAGCCCAGCAUUGUUAAUGCUGUUUUUUUCAUCCUCUUGAAAAUGCACUCAGUAAAUGUACUGGAAUGGUCAUGUCUUAAAGUAAGGUUGCCACUAAGGAACAAAGUUCAAUGGGAUUAACACCUAAACCUUAAUGGGUGACUGACUGGAAAAACCACUGUCACUGGAGGAUGAGAAUGAGAGAUGAAUACUGUAAAUUAGACCAGUGUUAACAAUCUGCCUGUUUAAAAACAUUCCAGAACAUGUAAACAGUUCCAUGAUACAAGCGUGCUAAUCAGAGGACAAGAGAGCAUCUCAUUACAAACAAAACAGAACAUAGUACUUAUUAAUGCAGUCAAUGAACACUUGAUAUUUAUCGGUGUCAAUUCUCUAUGUUAAACAGCUGUAAGUAUCUGAGAAAAUCAUUUGUGGUGCUUUCUCUGGCAAUUGUUCAAAAGAUUCAGCAAUUGUACAAUGGCAAUGAUGCAUUAUUACCAACUGGGCACAGAUGUCCUUUCAAUGUCUAGUUUUGAUUUACAUUUGGUUGAGUUGUCAACUAACAGUGAAUUCAACGUGAAAUCAACUAACAGUGAAUUCAACGUGAAAUCAACUAACAGUGAAUUCAACGUGAAAUCAACAACAAAUGUCACCAUGUCAUUGGAUUUAGAGUAAAAGUUGGGUGAAAAAAAAGACGAAAUGCACUGAUGUUGAUGACUUUUACAAAUCCAGUCAGUUUUCCACGUUGAUUCAAAGUCCUCACAUGUCCCUGCAUAUUUAUGUGGUAAAGUUCGACACUCAACACAAAUACAGAAGUUAGACAUGGGGAUUUACAAGAAGUCACGUGAUUUUCAGGAAAUUUUAGGCAGAAAAGAGAAACUGAUACGAUGCCAAAUAAAUGGUAACUGGGACAGUUUUUACUUCACUGUGCUUGUUGAGACAAAGACUUUCACAUGGUACCUACUUUUCCACUUAGGUAUUAUUUGACCCAGUUAGAUUCCUCUCAUUGUAUUAUUGGUUCAUGUUGCAUUUAGAAUGAGAGCACACGAUGACCCAAAUGGGAGUAAACAAACCCCAAGCUCACUUUCCUAACCAUUUGUAUUUUGAGUAAAUGAUCUCUUCAAGGUGUUGUCUUUAAUUAACUACACUGCACUCUGUUUCCUCUCAAGGUUUCUUCUCUUGCCAGUGUUGCCCGGUUUUUGAGGAGUAUCUAAACUUAAUUUGUGUAAAAANNNNNNNNNNNNNNNNNNNNNNNNNNNNNNNNNGCGGCUCAUACUCUUCCACAUCAGAAAGAGG